GACGAACGCUGGCGGCGUGCUUAACGCAUGCAAGUCAACGAGAAAGGGGUAGCAAUAUCCCGAUUAAAGUGGCGCACGGGUGAGUAACACGUAGGCAAUCUGCCUUCAGGACGGGGACAACCUCGAGAAAUCGAGGCUAAUACCCGAUGAUGCGAUGGUACCGCAUGGCACUAUCGUUAAAGGUUUUCGGACGCCUGGAGAUGAGCCUGCGUCCCAUUAGGUAGUUGGUGAGGUAACGGCUCACCAAGCCUGCGAUGGGUAGCUGGUCUGAGAGGAUGACCAGCCACACUGGAACUGAGACACGGUCCAGACUCCUACGGGAGGCAGCAGUGAGGAAUAUUGCGCAAUGGCCGAAAAGCUGACGCAGCGACGCCGCGUGGAGGAUGAAAUCCGUUAGGAUGUAAACUCCUUUUGCCGGGGAAGAAUGUCCGCCUAUGGCGGAAGAGACGGUACCUGGCGAAUAAGGAUCGGCUAACUACGUGCCAGCAGCCGCCGUAAAAC
rnacentral:rRNA from 1 species